UGUGUGCUCAGUUGGCAGAGCGUUAAGACUCUUAAUCUCAGGGCCAUAGGUUUGAGCCCCAGGUUGGGCAAAA